ACGGCUCAGUAACACGUGGACAACCUGCCCUUGAGACGGGGAUAAACCCGGGAAACUGGGUAUAAUACCCGAUAGAUCUCGAUUGCUGGAAUGCAUCGAGCUUGAAAGCUCCGGCGCUCAAGGAUGGGUCUGCGGCCUAUCAGGUAGUAGUGGGUGUAGCGUACCUACUAGCCUACGACGGGUACGGGUUGUGAGAGCAAGAGCCCGGAGAUGGAUUCUGAGACACGAGUCCAGGCCCUACGGGGUGCAGCAGGCGCGAAAACUUUACAAUGCUGGAAACAGCGAUAAGGGGACCUCGAGUGCCAGGUUACAAAUCUGGCUGUCGUGAUGCCUAAAAAGCAUUGCAUAGCAAGGGCCGGGCAAGACCGGUGCCAGCCGCCGCGGUAACACCGGCGGCUCGAGUGGUAACCGUUAUUAUUGGGUCUAAAGGGUCUGUAGCCGGCCGGAUAAGUCUCUUGGGAAAUCUGGCAGCUUAACUGUCAGGCUUUCAGGAGAUACUGUCUGGCUCGAGGCCGGGAGAGGUGAGAGGUACUUCAGGGGUAGGGGUGAAAUCUUGUAAUCCUUGAAGGACCACCAGUGGCGAAGGCGUCUCACCAGAACGGACCUGACGGCAAGGGACGAAAGCUAGGGGCACGAACCGGAUUAGAUACCCGGGUAGUCCUAGCCGUAAACGAUACUCGCUAGGUGUCGGCAACGGUGCGACCGUUGUCGGUGCCGUAGGGAAGCCGUGAAGCGAGCCACCUGGAA
rnacentral:rRNA from 1 species